rnacentral:rRNA from 1 species
UACAGAGGGUGCAAGCGUUGUUCGGAAUUACUGGGCGUAAAGCGCGUGUAGGCGGCGUCGUUAGUCGGAUGUGAAAGCCCUCGGCUCAACCGAGGAAGUGCAUCCCGAUACUGCGAUGCUUUGAGUGUUGGAGGGGGGUGGCGGAAUUCCCCGGUGUAGAGGUGAAAUUCGUAGAUAUCGGGAGGAACACCUGUGGCGAAGGCGGCCACCUGGACAACAACUGACGCUGAGACGCGAAAGCGUGGGUAGCAAACAGG